AUUGAACGCUGGCGGCAUGCCUUACACAUGCAAGUCGAACGGCAGCACGGGGGCAACCCUGGUGGCGAGUGGCGAACGGGUGAGUAAUACAUCGGAACGUGUCCGGUCGUGGGGGAUAACCAGUCGGAAAGAUUGGCUAAUACCGCAUGAGCUCGAAAGAGGAAAGCGGGGGACCCGCAAGGGCCUCGCGCGACUCGAGCGGCCGAUGUCGGAUUAGCUUGUUGGCGGGGUAAAANCCACAAGGCGACGAUCCGUAGCCGGUUUGAGAGAACGACCAGCCACACUGGGGACUGAGACACGGCCCAGACCCCUACGGGAGGCAGCAGUGGGGAAUCUUGGACAAUGGGCGCAAGCCUGAUCCAGCCAUGCCGCGUGUGUGAAGAAGGCCU
rnacentral:rRNA from 1 species